ACUCUACUCCCUUCGUUCGGAAUUACUCGUCCAAGAAAUGAAUGUAUCUAGAUGUAUUUUAGUUAUAUAUAUAUCCAUUUUUGUGACAAGUAAUUCCGAACGGAGGGAGUAGAAG
rnacentral:pre_miRNA from 1 species